rnacentral:rRNA from 1 species
UCGAGGAUCUUCGGCAAUGAGCGCAAGCUUGACCGAGCGACGCCGCGUGCGCGAUGAAGGCCUUCGGGUUGUAAAGCGCUUUAGUGGGGGAGAAAAGCCCGCAAGGGUCUGAUCUAUCCCAAAAAUAAGCACGGGCUAAGUUCGUGCCAGCAGCCGCGGUAAGACGAACCGUGCGAACGUUGUUCGGAAUCACUGGGCUUAAAGGGCGCGUAGGCGGGCUGACAAGUCUGGGGUGAAAUGCCGCGGCUCAACCGUGGAACUGCCUUAGAUACUGUCGGCCUCGAGGAAGGUAGGGGCAUGCGGAACUGUAGGUGGAGCGGUGAAAUGCGUUGAUAUCUACAGGAACUCCGGUGGCGAAAGCGGCGUGCUGGACCUUUUCUGACGCUGAGGCGCGAAAGCUAGGGGAGCAAAC